rnacentral:rRNA from 1 species
CAGGACGAGCGGCUGGCGGCGUGCCUAACACAUGCAAGUCGAGCGGGGACAUGGAAGUAGCAAUACGGAAAUGUUCUAGCGGCGGACGGGUGAGUAACGCGUGAGCAACCUGUCCCAGUCAGGGGGAUAACGAGCCGAAAGGCUCCCUAAUACCGCAUGAGACCACAGGCAUCACAUGGUGCAGGGGUCAAAGGAGAGAUCCGGACUGGGGUGGGCUCGCGUCUGAUUAGCUAGUUGGUGAGGUAAAGGCCCACCAAGGCGACGAUCAGUAGCCGACCUGAGAGGGUGAUCGGCCACAUUGGAACUGAGACACGGUCCAAACUCCUACGGGAGGCAGCAGUGGGGAAUAUUGGGCAAUGGGGGAAACCCUGACCCAGCAACGCCGCGUGAAGGAAGAAGGUCUUCGGAUCGUAAACUUCUAUCCUUGGUGAAGAUAAUGACGGUAGCCGAGAAGGAAGCCCCGGCUAACUACGUGCCAGCAGCGGC